GGGAAAGGAACGUAGCUUUAUUUUGUGAGACUAAUCCUCAAGAAGAUGGGAGGCAAGUGCCCUCAGAUCUGCCUCCACCAUCCAGGGCUUGGGGCACAGUUUAUGGGAUGAAGGGCUGGGCAGUCUGAAGUGUGGAAAUUCAUGACUGGAGGUGAGGAGAGGUGCGGUAAUUGAUGACCUGUGCAAGCGUGGUCAAGCUUCAUGCCUCUUCGCAGGAUGCGUGUUCCCAAAAUGGUGGCCUUACCAUGAUCUGAGGGUGAAGUUUUUAGCUCCUCAAUGUCAAAAAGGUCAGUUAUGCAGCAUUUGCACACGCCCAGUUGAUCGGUUGGUGGUCUCAACCCACCUGAAGUGGACAAGGGGUCUCAGUUCCUGACAGACAACUCUUAAUUACUCUGUUGAUAAGAUGGUGUUGGUUGAACUGGUCCUGGAGAGCUUGUGGUUUCAUAGUCACAAACACUCAGACAUAAAAGCCGCCUGACUUGCCCCAAGGCAAAAACGUAGAUCCAGUUCCCAGGUUUAUGUUUUCCAAUUUUUGCAUCACAAUCGUAUAUGUGGCAGAGACUGGUUAGCUGUUCACCAAAUCUGUUGGGUGUGGCCCUGAAUUCUGGCCUUUGGUGUGUGGGCAGAAGUGAAGUACGUCACUUCUGGGUUCGGCCCAUGAAAACUUCCUGUGUAAUUCUGUGUGCUCUCUCUUCCCCUGUCUUCUGGCUACGUCCUGCUUCCAGGAGGACAUCUAAAGCCACGUAUCGGGGUGGUAGAAUGGGGAGAGGACUUGGAAGCCUUUGAGUUCAAGCCUCAAUAUAGCUACUUAUGAGCUGUGUGGACCUCGUGAACAUCUGUUGCCCCACAGAACAAGUCAGGAAGCCCUCCAGGGACUUUGCCUCACCUUGGCCAGAGCUGCAUCCUACCCCUAAAGCAAUCAUUGGAAAAGGGAGUGGUACCAACAUGGGGAAGGAUGCUUGAACAAGAUGGUGGCUGUGCCAGGGAAAGUGACUUUUGUAUAGUCAUUCAACAGUGUCAGCUUCAGUUUCUGCCCUUGGAGUCCUGCUGCUGAGGCAGGCUCCUCAAUAUGAAACCAUUUAAAAUUUCCGAAAUGGCUAAGCUUGCAAAAGCUCUUUGUCAUAGGUACCACCGAUCUGCCCAGUGUGAAGUGAGGAAACCAUAAUUCAAGACAGUGGAAACGAUUGUGACGCAGGAUGAGAUCUGUGAUUUCCACAGGUGUCAAAGACACAGCUACUGCUAAUACUGCUGAGGUUCCUGGCCCAUAUUCAAAAUUGAAGGAAAUGCUAAAUUUCAGUUAGAGAUUAAUGAAAACAAAGAUGAAAUUUUUUCCACCCAAUUUCACCCCUUGGAUACCUGUUGAAG
rnacentral:lncRNA from 1 species